rnacentral:rRNA from 1 species
GGUCAAGCGAAUAAGCGCACACGGUGGAUGCCUUGGCGGUCAGAGGCGAUGAAGGACGUGGCAGCCUGCGAAAAGUAUCGGGGAGCUGGCAACAAGCUUUGAUCCGGUAAUGUCCGAAUGGGGAAACCCACCCGCUUGCGGGUAUCCUGCAGUGAAUACAUAGCUGCUGGAAGCGAACCUGGUGAACUGAAAUAUCUAAGUAACCAGAGGAAAAGAAAUCAACCGAGAUUCCGUAAGUAGCGACGAGCGAACGCGGACUAGCCCUUAAGCUGGAUUGGUUCUAGGAAAACGCUCUGGAAAGAGCGGCCAUAGAAGGUGAUAGCCCUGUAUCUGAAAGGGCCAUUCCAGUGAAGACGAGUAGGGCGGGGCACGUGAAACCCUGUCUGAACAUGGGGGGACCAUCCUCCAAGGCUAAAUACUACUGACCGACCGAUAGUGAACCAGUACCGUGAGGGAAAGGCGAAAAGAACCCCGGAGAGGGGAGUGAAAUAGAACCUGAAACCGUGUGCGUACAAGCAGUAGGAGCUCCGCAAGGAGUGACUGCGUACCUUUUGUAUAAUGGGUCAGCGACUUACUGUUCGUGGCAAGCUUAACCGUAUAGGGGAGGCGAAGGGAAACCGAGUCUGAUAAGGGCGCAUAGUCGCGGGCAGUAGACCCGAAACCGGGUGAUCUAGUCAUGCCCAGGGUGAAGGUGCGGUAACACGCACUGGAGGCCCGAACCCACUCCCGUUGCAAAGGUAGGGGAUGAGGUGUGAUUAGGAGUGAAAAGCUAAUCGAACCCGGAGAUAGCUGGUUCUCCUCGAAAGCUAUUUAGGUAGCGCCUCAUAUGUAUCCUCUCGGGGGUAGAGCACUGUUAUGGCUAGGGGGUCAUCGCGACUUACCAAACCAUUGCAAACUCCGAAUACCGAGACGGACUGUAUGGGAGACACACGGCGGGUGCUAACGUCCGUCGUGAAAAGGGAAACAACCCAGACCCACAGCUAAGGUCCCAAAUUCACUGCUAAGUGGAAAACCAUGUGGAAAGGCACAGACAGCCAGGAGGUUGGCUUAGAAGCAGCCACCCUUUAAAGAAAGCGUAAUAGCUCACUGGUCGAGUCGGUCUGCGGGGAAGAUUUAACGGGGCUAAGCAGUGAACCGAAGCUUGGGGUGCAUACUUUGUAUGCGCGGUAGAGGAGCGUUCCGUAAGCCGUUGAAGGUGGAUUGAGAAGUCUGCUGGAGGUAUCGGAAGUGCGAAUGCUGACAUGAGUAACGAUAAUGCGGGUGAAAAACCCGCACGCCGAAAGCCCAAGGUUUCCUUGCGCAACGUUAAUCGGCGCAGGGUGAGUCGGCCCCUAAGGCGAGGACGAAAGUCGUAGUCGAUGGGAAGCAGGUUAAUAUUCCUGCACCUCGCGUAAGUGCGAUGGAGGGACGGAGAAGGUUAGGUGUACCAGGCGUUGGUUGUCCUGGGGAAAGGCGGUAGGUUUGGAUCUUUGGCAAAUCCGGGAUCCUUUAAGACCGAGCACCGAGACGAGCCUUUAAGGCGAAGUCACUGAUACCACGCUUCCAGGAAAAGCUCCUAAGCUUCAGCUUACGCAGACCGUACCGUAAACCGACACAGGUGGGUAGGAUGAGAAUUCUCAGGCGCUUGAGAGAACUCGGGUGAAGGAACUAGGCAACAUGGCACCGUAACUUCGGGAGAAGGUGCACCCUUUUUGGUGGCUCGUGCGAGCUAUAGCUGAAGAGGGUCGCAGUAACCAGGCCGCUGCGACUGUUUAUCAAAAACACAGCACUCUGCAAACACGAAAGUGGACGUAUAGGGUGUGACGCCUGCCCGGUGCUGGAAGGUUAAUUGAUGGGGUCAGCCGCAAGGCGAAGCUCUUGAUCGAAGCCCCAGUAAACGGCGGCCGUAACUAUAACGGUCCUAAGGUAGCGAAAUUCCUUGUCGGGUAAGUUCCGACCUGCACGAAUGGCGUAACGACAGCGGCGCUGUCUCCACCCGAGACUCAGUGAAAUUGAAAUCGCUGUGAAGAUGCAGCGUUCCCGUGGCAAGACGGAAAGACCCCGUGAACCUUUACUAUAGCUUUACACUGAACGUUGAGUUCGUCUGUGUAGGAUAGGUGGGAGGCUAUGAAACUGUGGCGCUAGCUGCAGCGGAGCCAUCCUUGAAAUACCACCCUGUCGUGCUUGACGUUCUAACCUGGGCCCAUUAUCUGGGUCGGGGACCGUGUAUGGUGGGUAGUUUGACUGGGGCGGUCUCCUCCUAAAGAGUAACGGAGGAGCUCGAAGGUACGCUCAGCGCGGUCGGACAUCGCGCACUGUGUGCAAAGGCAUAAGCGUGCUUGACUGCAAGAUCGACGGAUCAAGCAGGUAGGAAACUAGGACUUAGUGAUCCGGUGGUUCUGUAUGGAAGGGCCAUCGCUCAACGGAUAAAAGGUACUCCGGGGAUAACAGGCUGAUACCGCCCAAGAGUUCAUAUCGACGGCGGUGUUUGGCACCUCGAUGUCGGCUCAUCACAUCCUGGGGCUGUAGUCGGUCCCAAGGGUAUGGCUGUUCGCCAUUUAAAGUGGUACGCGAGCUGGGUUCAGAACGUCGUGAGACAGUUCGGUCCCUAUCUGCCAUGGGCGUUGGAGAUUUGAGAGGGGCUGCUCCUAGUACGAGAGGACCGGAGUGGACGAACCUCUGGUGUUCCGGUUGUCACGCCAGUGGCAUUGCCGGGUAGCUAUGUUCGGAAGCGAUAACCGCUGAAAGCAUCUAAGCGGGAAGCGCGCCUCAAGAUGAGAUCUCCCGGGGCACAAGCCCCCUGAAGGAACCAUGUAGACUACGUGGUUGAUAGGUCAGGUGUGUAAGUACAGCAAUGUAUUGAGCUAACUGAUACUAAUGAUCCGUGCGGCUUGACCAU